rnacentral:rRNA from 1 species
CACGUAGUUAGCCGGUGCUUAUUCUUACGGUACCGUCAUUACGCCGAGGUAUUAGCUCAGCGCGUUUCGUUCCGUACAAAAGCAGUUUACAACCCGAGGGCCUUCAUCCUGCACGCGGAAUGGCUGGAUCAGGCUUGCGCCCAUUGUCCAAAAUUCCCCA